rnacentral:rRNA from 1 species
UACAGAGGUCUCGAGCGUUGUUCGGAUUCAUUGGGCGUAAAGGGCGCGUAGGCGGCGGGGUAAGUCUGGUGUGAAAUCUAGGAGCUCAACUCCUAGACUGCACUGGAUACUGCUCUGCUGGAGGACUGGAGAGGAGACUGGAAUUCACGGUGUAGCAGUGAAAUGCGUAGAUAUCGUGAGGAAGACCAGUGGCGAAGGCGGGUCUCUGGACAGUUCCUGACGCUGAGGCGCGAAGGCCAGGGGAGCAAACGGG